ensembl:misc_RNA Metazoa_SRP Metazoan signal recognition particle RNA
GCUGGGUGUGGUACUGUACACCUGUAGUCCCAGCUACUCAGGAGGCUGAGGUGGGAGAAUCACUUGAGCCCAGGAGGUCGAGGCUGCAGUGAGCUAUGAUCAUACUUGUGAAUGGCCUAUGCACUCUCUCCUGGGCAAUGUAGUGAGAGCUCAUCUCUU